rnacentral:lncRNA from 1 species
CCCAGGAACACCAAGCCUCACUAAUCUCAAUUUCACCCAGUUAUGGGCUGCAGACAUAUUUAUUCACCAAUAAGAAAUAACUUGGGGACAAGGUCAUAUAGCAUUACUUGACUCUCUUGUCUCUGGGCAACCAGGCCUUAGGGACCCGCACUUAGCAUUACAAUACAUAGCAACAGACCAAACCUGCACAAGUUCAAAGAUAGUCUGGGUUGUAGGUUGGUAUGGAACAAGAGUAAGAAACUUUUGCUAACUAAGUAACUAACUAGCUAACUAAAACAAUAAAAACCAAAGAGAACUGAAGAACUAUGUUAUUGAAAGAUUUCACCUACAUAUCUGGACAAAUGGUUGGAUGGACUUUUGUAAAUGUUCACAGACAUGUCUUCUUGAUCCUUCAAAGGCACCAGGCAUAGAUUUUAUUCAGAUGAAGGGAGAAGAAACGUGACACAGACAUAUCGGAUUUUGCCCAGCGUGAGGGAAACUCCUAAGAAGUAAAGGUGUACUAGCCUUUUCUCAUUGCUGAGAUAAAAUACCUUCCAAGAAGCAAAUUAAGGAAGGAAGGGUUUAUGGUGGCUCCUGGUGCAGGGUGACAUGGUUUAUGACGGCAGGGGUGUCACUUGUGAUACAUGAUCACUGUAUCUUCAUAAGUAGAAGUGGAGAAAGGCUGAGAAGUGUCUCAUGGUUUGCAUAUGCUUAGCCCAGGAAGUGGCACUAUUAGAAGAUGUGGCCCUGUUGUAGUGACCUUGUUGGAGUAGGUAUAUCACUGUGGGUGUGAGCUUUAAGACUGUCAUCCUAGCUGCCAGUAUUCUGCUAGCAGCCUUCAGAUGAAGAUGUAGAACUCUUAGCUCCUCCCACACCAAGCCUUCCUGGAUGCUGCCAUGCUCUCACCUUGAUGAUAAUGGACUGAACCUCUAAACCUGUAAGCCAG